rnacentral:lncRNA from 1 species
AUGCAAAUGAACAUUCCCCUUGGCUGGCGGCUUCAUUUUGUCUGCUCCUUAAUGUACACGUGGCUGGCCAAGAAGGGAAGAUGGAGCCGCCAUUUUCUAGCUGCCAUGUCUAGUCCCAGGUAGUUCUUUCCUGCCGGCAUUCACCGUGAAAGCUCCCAGCGUGCUUGUCUAUGUCUGCAGCUCAACUUCACAGGCUGCUCUUUGUUAGAAAAUGAUUUGGGGCAGCUUUUCAUUAAAAGAAAAACGUUACCAAGGACUUCUGGACUAUCUGCCUAAAUCUAUGCCUUGAUAGGUCUUCAGUUACUCAUGGUGAAACAUAUAGAGGGAGCCCAAGCCAAGAAGAGAGGUCUGGUAUCAAAGAUUUGCUGAAUUCACAAUUGAAGAGGCUUAUGUCAGUCCCUUAGAAAGAAUUUGAGGACUCCUCGGAAAAUUGCUGAGUUGAGUAAAUAUUUCCUUCCAUAAAGGUGAAGCCUUGAUGACUGUGGUUUGAAUUCACUGGGAAAAGUGGAAUCGUCAAGAGACCCGGGCUAACUAAAUCCCUCUGGGAGCCUCAGCAGCUGAGGCCAUCACUCAAAAUUAAGGCUCAACUCAGCUGUACUUCUCACCACGUGGCAAAGGAUGGACCAAAGGCUGGGAGCAACUGGGAGUGUCUGGGAACACUUUCUGGUUGUCACAGUGAUCAGCAGCCAGGAGCAGCCUGCAAUGUGAAGACAGUCCUGUGGGACAGUCCUAGGCUACAGGGAACUGUCCUGCAUCCUGCAUGUCUUAUAAACAUCCUACUGGACGUCGAUGUUUGACUGUGCCCCAAGGAAGCCACACAAACUGUGUAGCCAGACAGUCUGUCUGGGAGGAGAAGGAAGGAAUUUAUCUACCAGCUCCCAUCUCUCAUGGACCAAAUUCUUCCCCACUGUACAUAACUCCAUAUCACUUUCAGAUUGCAUAAGGGUGAGAGCUGAAUGUAGGCUCCAACAGGAAGACGGCAUUGAAGCCUGGUUGCUUGUUACUACUCAGAAUGCCAUCUACAAAAGGAAAUUAUGUAAAAAGCAAUAAAGAACCCCUUUUGUUCUUGCAGGA